rnacentral:rRNA from 1 species
UACGAAGGGGGCUAGCGUUGCUCGGAAUCACUGGGCGUAAAGCGCACGUAGGCGGAUCUUUAAGUCAGGGGUGAAAUCCUGGAGCUCAACCCCGGAACUGCCUUUGAAACUAGAUUGCUAGAAUCCUGGAGAGGUGAGUGGAAUUCCGAGUGUAGAGGUGAAAUUCGUAGAUAUUCGGAAGAACACCAGUGGCGAAGGCGACUCACUGGACAGGUAUUGACGCUGAGGUGCGAAAGCGUGGGGAGCAAACAGG